UACGAAGGGUGCAAGCGUUAAUCGGAAUUACUGGGCGUAAAGCGUGCGUAGGCGGUUGCUUAAGUCUGUUGUGAAAUCCCCGGGCUCAACCUGGGAAUGGCAAUGGAUACUGGGCAGCUAGAGUGUGUCAGAGGAUGGUGGAAUUCCCGGUGUAGCGGUGAAAUGCGUAGAGAUCGGGAGGAACAUCAGUGGCGAAGGCGACACGCUGGGCCGUACCUGACACUGAGGCGCGAUAGCAUGGGGAGCGAACAGG
rnacentral:rRNA from 1 species